rnacentral:rRNA from 1 species
AUUGAACGCUGGCGGCAGGCCUAACACAUGCAAGUCGAACGAGUGGCGGACGGGUGAGUAAUGUCUGGGAACCUGCCUGAUGGAGGGGGAUAACUACUGGAACCGGUAGCUAAUACCGCAUACCAUCCGAUGUUCCCAGAUGGGGUUAGCUAGUGGGUGGGGUAACGGCUCACCAAGGCGCCGAUCCCUAGCUGGUCUGAGAGGAUGACCAGCCACACUGGAACUGAGACACGGUCCAGACUCCUACGGGAGGCAGCAGUGGGGAAUAGUGCACAAUGGGCGCAAGCCUGAUGCAGCCACGCCGCGUGUAUGAAGAAGGCCUUCGGGUUGUAAAGUACUGUCAGCGGGGAGGCGUUACCCGAAGAAGAAGCACCGGCUAACUCCGUGCCAGCCGCCGCGGUAAUAC